CUCUCAACCCAGCCCAAGAAGAUGCUAUCACUUAAUCCAUCCAAGAGUUAUUGCAGUCUGGCAUAAUUAUACCAACCACCUCUACCUGCAAUAGUCCUCUGUACCCUGUUAAAAAGAAACAGGAGAAAGGCAAGCCAGUGGUAUAUCGCAUGGUGCAUGAUUUAAGAGCUGCUAAUGCUGUAACUGAAUUGAUUGCUCCUAAUGUUCCCAACCCUCAUACAUUGCUGUCACAAAUUCCACCUUCCUCUAAGGUGUUUACUGUCAUUGACCUGGCAAAUGCAUUCUUUUCUGUACAAUGGCACUCAGACGGUCAAUACCUUUUUGCAUUCACACACAAGCACAGACAAAACACACCGACGGUGUUGUCUCAAGGUGCUCAGAAUUUGCCUACCAUGUAUAGCAUGGCAAUGGCCCAAAUUCUAGAAGCUUGGCCAAGGGCAGAAGGUGUUGUGUUGUUACAAUAUGUUGAUGAUUUGCUUUGUAGCCAAGGAUAAG